rnacentral:rRNA from 1 species
GACGAACGCUGGCGGCGUGCUUAACACAUGCAAGUCGAACGAAAACGCCCGAGCUUGCUCGGUCGGAUUAGUGGCGAACGGGUGAGUAACACGUGAGCAACCUGCCCUUCACUCUGGGAUAACCUCGGGAAAUCGGGGCUAAUACCGGAUAUGAGCUCCUGUCGCAUGGCGGGGGUUGGAAAGUUUUGUGGGUUGGGGAUGGCCUCGCGGCUUAUCGGUUUGUUGGGGGGGUAGUGGCUUACCAAGGCGUUGACGGGUAGCCGGCCUGAGAGGGCGACCGGCCACACUGGGACUGAGAUACGGCCCAGACUCCUACGGGAGGCAGCAGUGGGGAAUAUUGCACAAUGGGCGGAAGCCUGAUGCAGCAACGCCGCGUGCGGGAUGACGGCCUUCGGGUUGUAAACCUCUUUCGGCAGGGAAGAAGCGAGAGUGACGGUACCUGGUGAAGAAGCGCCGGCUAACUACGUG